rnacentral:tRNA from 1 species
UUCUGUGUUCUGUAUUAGCUCUCCAGGUGGUUCUGAUACAUACCAAAAUUUCGGAAUUAUUUACUUAAAGAAUAACAGUUCUGAAUCAUGGGAAGGAAGACACAAGAAAUUGCCGGGCACAAAGUCCACAGACAAUUCUUCCCUACUUUGAUUUAAUAUCUUCGAGUCGAGGACUCUUCCUUAGGUAUUCGGGAUCACAUUUUUGAGACACGGUACAAGUGGGAUUAAUAUAUUUCAAUGAGAGUGGCACAAAAUUAGCAAAUAUUUUCUAUUGUUAAGAGAGCUCUACCUUUUGAGCUAAUUCCCAGCAUGAAUAGAAAAUCCUAUCCACUUUUUCCUUUGUUUUAUUUUUUCUCCUCAAAUUUUUGUUUCUCUUCUAGCGGUGAUUCUCAAAACUUGCAGCACGUUAAAAUCACCUGGGAGCUUUUAAAUCUACCAAUGCCUGGGUCCCAUCCAAAGUGGCCCAAACGUAACUGCCUUGUAAAAUCUUUCCAGGUGAUUCGGAUAACCACCAACUUUUCUCAGCCAGGGUUCAGAGCCACUGCUAAUUAAUUAAACGGAGAAUCACGAGCAGUGCCGCUGAAUUUUAUCUCGCCCCCCAGGUGGUGGGCAGCUGCAUCCCUUGAAAAAGAACCUUCCCAAAGAUAAGGAGACUAAGCCCACCAGGGGGCGCGCGUGCCCCACCAAUUACCCCCAGGUCCGCUUCAUUCCUACCAGCCCGCCCCUCUCCCUGGGUCCGGAUUCCCUAGUGGUGGGGCGAAGACUCAUCUCUGGACCCCUAGCCCAGGGGGCCCGCCUCUGAUCCGCCUCUUCUGGGCUCAGGACUUCUCUGCGGCCACAUCUGUAUGUGAACUAUGGGGCUGAAGUCUGAUCGCGUGUAUUAAUAAUUGUUGCGGAGAAUAAUAAUUUGAAAAAUUAGACUUGCUGCGCAACAAGAAUAAUGUUAAAUAGAUGCACACCGAGGAAAUGUAUAACUGAGAUGACUUUUUGAGGGUGGGCAUGAAAAACAACGCAAAAAGUGAACUCCUUCGAGCCGGACUCGAACCAGCGACCUAAGGAUGCCUGGGAGCUUUACACUACAGUCCUCCGCUCUACCAACUGAGCUAUCGAAGGAAUCACACUCUUUCGCUUACCCGCCGAGGAUGCCAUCUCUGCAUAAGUUUCUACAGCUACCACCUCAUUUGGACCCUCCCCACCUUCUGACUGGACUGCUGCAAUCACCUUGUAACGGAUCCCCUUGUCCAGAUUUGUCCUUUCUGUUCUGUUCUCCACACAAGCGUCGAAAGGUCUUACUGAGAGGAGUGUGAGGCCCACGAGAUUACCACCACUAAAAGAAGUCCUUGCUUCCUGCCACUCUCCCUACAGGCCCUUUAGUGUGAAAGAAAAUAAUUGGGUCCCCUCCGAAAUGAAAAUUCAUUCACAGGAAGGAAUGUGAACCCUCUUAUCAAAGGUCUGAUCUACCACCAGAACCAUCCAGUUUACGACGAAUUUGAUUUCACGAAGUCUGGCAAGCACCAGUCUUUGUGAUAGUGGAUUGGGGUUCAUACUUACAUGACUUUAUGUGUGAUCCUACACCCGCCUUAAGAGACAGGAUCCAUGACUUCCUUCAUUUUCUCUGGCUCCACAGUAUGAAAGAUUCAGAUAGAGACAGACAGACAUGCCUAGGGAGCCUUGAGAAGGGGAGGAGUGGGGACAGGCGGUAGAUUGGAGGGAUUCUGAGGGUGUGUGUCAAUCACUUGUAUCCUUGUAGGUCAGGAAUCGUAUCUGAUUCUUCCACAUAUAGCUAGAAUUCUAUGUAUUUUCAAAAUAAACUAGAACUCUGUGAAAACGGGAAGAAGCAAGAAAGAUUUUAUGUCCCUAUUUUUAUCUGCUUCAAAAGCAUUCCCAGAUGCAGGUAGGAGAUGAAUUUCGAGUCCUCCUCCCUACCCCUCUCCCAACCCGGCGAGAGAGAAGAGAAUCAGCCCUGCGUGUUCUGAACACAGCGGCGGUGCCGGAAGCCGAGGCCGCAGGUGAGUGUGGGCGCUCGGAGCUCCCUGAUUUAAUACUUCGGCAGGCGACAAGAACUUUAGAGACGCAGGUGCGGUUUAGACACACACAAGAAAAGCUUCGCCAGGUCCCCCGUGCACCUCGGCGGGAAGAGCCUCCGUAUCCCCGCGCCCCGUUUUGGGCUCCGGACCCGGAGGCACUCUCCCUCUCUUCCGCUUUUCCUCAGCUUCUUCGCCCGCCCCGCCCCGCUUUCUUUUCCCCUGCGUUGGGCAGCGCAGUUGCUUUCCCGAAGGGUGGAGAGGAAGCUGGCGUCCAGGAAGCCCACGCCGAGCGUGCUCCACGGCCCGGCCGGCGGGUCACGUGGCGGAGGGCGGUCACGUGGCGGAGGGGGCGGGGCCUGUUUGCGAUGCCCCGGAGGAGUCGGGCCGCUGCUGAACUCAGCCCGGCGGAACUGAAGCCCCGUUGAUGGGGCGAAGAGAGGACUUAGUAAUACGCUCUGUGCAUCCGACAAAGGUUUACUGUGCGCCUGCUGCGGGCUGGGGGCGGAAGCUCUGCGUUCUUUGUGAUCUGGUGGUUCCUGAGGGUGAGGAAACCGGAGUACUGACCUCCACGUGUCCGGCAGGACUUGGUAAUUAUUGCAGCAGCGCGGGAUGAGGCCAGAAGAACCCCAAGUGGAGACUGCUUGUGUAAUGCGGGAGUGAGUGCAGAACAAAUUUCUGUGAAUUGUAUUUGAAUAGUUACUGUAUUGUAAUACUUCAAAAAAAGAAUAAAUAUGUAUUGAACGACUCGUAUACACAGACCCCGUUGAAUACAAUUUAGAAGUGAGUAAUGAAUUUCCGUGGUAGAUUAUACAGGACCACGACAGGUUACUUAGUAGUAGUGUAUAUGAUGUAAUGAAAAGAACCAGGCUGUGGAGCCACUUAGGCCACUUUUGAAUACUGUCUCUUACUAGCUGUGUGAUCUCUCUAACUUCCUUGUGCCAAAUGGGGAUGAUGAUAAUAAAGAUAAUACAGAUCCUAUGGGGUAGUAUUGAGAAUAUCAAAUGAAAUAGCAUUUGUAAAGCACGGUGCACGGGUCAUCCCUACAGGCUCAAACAGGAGAACCCACACAGUGUUUUGAAAGGCUUUCAUCUGGACCCCAUCUUUGGGCUGUUGUCCUCUUGGGCUGCUGGAGCAGAUCACCGCUCUUGAGUAGCAUAUUCCCUUUUUCCUUUACUUAUGGCCUGGCUUCUACAGUUUUCCAAGUCGGCCCUGGAAACAGGAUUAAGCCCCAGAAUUCCAAUUCCU